GCGCGUGGAACAUAAAUUUUAACCCAAAUAUGAUUGCUCCAACGACUCUUUCUCUCUUUUUUCCUAUAUAUUCUCUUCUACAUCCCUUCCUCCAUUAAAGAACAUCUGUUGUGCCUUUCCUUAUUCAUGCCAUCAACUUUCUACGUCUUCUUCCAAUUUAACUUCAUGGAUUCAAAGCGGAAGUUAUUUUGUGUGUGGGGGUAUCCUCCAGUAUUGAAAAUUUUAUGGUCAAAUGAUAAUCCGGGGCUUAGAUUCUUCGGUUGUAAGUACUAUGGGCCCAUGUGAAUAUUUCGAGUGGUAUGACCCCCAAUUCCCUAGGCAAGCAAAUGUUGUGAUAUUGAGUUUGCUAAAGAAGAGCAACAAUCAACAAAGACAAUUGAAGUGGAAGAAAGUGUUGAAGCUAAUAUUAUAUUUUAUCUUGUUAUGCAAUGUAAUAAUGUAUUUGAAUUUUUGUCUAUAAUCUAGUUAACGGAAUGUCAGAAGAUGUAGUUGUAUUUUAGUUCGAUCAAUGUAGUCUCCAAUUGUAUUUUA